rnacentral:rRNA from 1 species
CCUACGGGUGGCAGCAGUGGGGAAUAUUGCGCAAUGGGCGAAAGCCUGACGCAGCGACGCCGCGUGAGGGAUGAAGGUCUUCGGAUCGUAAACCUCUGUCAGCAGGGAAGAACGGUCACUGUGCUAAUCAGCAGUGAAUUGACGGUACCUGCAAAGGAAGCACCGGCUAACUCCGUGCCAGCAGCCGCGGUAAUACGGAGGGUGCGAGCGUUAAUCGGAAUUACUGGGCGUAAAGCGCUCGUAGGCGGUAUGUCAAGUCAAGGGUGAAAUCCCCGGGCUAAACGGGGGAACUGCCUUUGAAACUGGCAAACUGGGGUGUGUAAGAGGAUAGUGGAAUUCCAGGUGUAGGAGUGAAAUCCGUAGAUAUCUGGAGGAACAGCAGUGGAGAAGGCGACUAUCUGGCACAUAACUGACGCUGAGGGGCGAAAGCGUGGGUAGCAAACAGGAUUAGAUACCCCAGUAGUC